rnacentral:rRNA from 1 species
GACGAACGCUGGCGGCGUGCUUAACACAUGCAAGUCGAACGGACAGGCCCUGCUUUUGUGGGGUGCUCGAGUGGCGAACGGGUGAGUAACACGUGAGUAACCUGCCCUUGACUUUGGGAUAACUUUAGGAAACUGGGGCUAAUACCGGAUAGGAGCUACUGCUGCAUGGUGGGGGUUGGAAAGUUUCGGCGGUUGGGGAUGGACUCGCGGCUUAUCAGCUUGUUGGUGGGGUAGUGGCUUACCAAGGCUUUGACGGGUAGCCGGCCUGAGAGGGUGGCCGGCCACAUUGGGCCUGAGAUACGGCCCAGACUCCUACGGGAGGCAACAGUGGAGAAUAUUGCGCAAUGGGCGGAAGCCUGAUACAGCAACGCCGCGUGCGGGAUGACCGCCUUCGGGUUGUAAACCGCUUUCGCCUGUGACGAAGCGUGAGUGACGGUAAUGGGUAAAGAAGCACCGGCUAACUACGUG